UAAACAACCACUGCUCCAGACUCUCAGACUGUGUAGAGGUAAACAACCACUGCUCCAGGCUAUCAGACUGUGUAGAGAGGUAAACAACCACUGUCCCAGACUAACAGACUGUGUAGAGAGGUAAACAACCACUGUCCCAUACUAUCAGACUGUGUAGAGAGGUAAACAACCACUGUCCCAUACUAUCAGACUGUGUAGAGAGGUAAACAACCACUGUCCCAUACUAUCAGACUGUGUAGAGAGGUAAACAACCACUGCUCCAGACUCUCAGACUGUGUAGAGAGGUAGACAACCACUGUCCCAGACUAUCAGACUGUGUAGAGAGGUAAACAACCACUGCUCCAGACUCUCAGACUGUGUAGAGAGGUAAACAACCACUGCUCCAGACUCUCAGACUGUGUAGAGAGGUAAACAACCACUGCUCCAGACUCUCAGACUGUGUAGAGAGGUAAACAACCACUGUCCCAUACUAUCAGACUGUGUAGAGAGGUAAACAACCACUGUCCCAUACUAUCAGACUGUGUAGAGAGGUAAACAACCACUGUCCCAGACUAACAGACUGUGUAGAGGUAAACAACCACUGUCCCAUACUAUCAGACUGUGUAGAGAGGUAAACAACCACUGUCCCAGACUAACAGACUGUGUAGAGGUAAACAACCACUGUCCCAUACUAUCAGACUGUGUAGAGAGGUAAACAACCACUGCUCCAGACUCUCAGACUGUGUAGAGAGGUAAACAACCACUGCUCCAGGCUAUCAGACUGUGUAGAGAGGUAAACAACCACUGUCCCAGACUAUCAGACUGUGUAGAGAGGUAAACAACCACUGCUCCAGACUCUCAGACUGUGUAGAGGUAAACAACCACUGUCCCAGACUAUCAGACUGUGUAGAGAGGUAAACAACCACUGCUCCAGACUCUCAGACUGUGUAGAGGUAAACAACCACUGUCCCAGACUCUCAGACUGUGUAGAGAGGUAAACAACCACUGUCCCAUACUAUCAGACUGUGUAGAGAGGUAAACAACCACUGUCCCAGACUCUCAGACUGUGUAGAGAGGUAAACAACCACUGUCCCAGACUCUCAGACUGUGUAGAGAGGUAAACAACCACUGCUCCAGACUCUCAGACUGUGUAGAGAGGUAAACAACCACUGCUCCAGACUCUCAGACUGUGUAGAGAGGUAAACAACCACUGCUCCAGACUCUCAGACUGUGUAGAGAGGUAAACAACCACUGUCCCAGACUCUCAGACUGUGUAGAGAGGUAAACAACCACUGUCCCAUACUAUCAGACUGUGUAGAGAGGUAAACAACCACUGUCCCAGAC